rnacentral:misc_RNA from 1 species
CCGAGUCUACAACUCCCAAACCCCUGUGAACAUACCUUUAUGUUGCCUCGGCGGAUCAGCCCGCGCCCCGUAAAACGGGACGGCCCGCCGCAGGAAACCCUAAACUCUGUUUUUAGUGGAACUUCUGAGUAUAAAAAACAAAUAAAUCA